rnacentral:rRNA from 1 species
UACAGUUUACAUGGAUAACUGUGYUAAUUCUAGAGCUAAUACAUGCACCCAGUCCGUUCCCUCGUGGAGCGGAUGCAGUUAUUUGCCCAAAACCAAUCCGGCCUUCGGGUCGGUCAAUUGGUGACUCUGAAUAACCGAAGCGGAGCGCAUGGUCUCGUACCGGCGCCAGAUCUUUCAAGUGUCUGACUUAUCAGCUUGUUGUUAGGUUAUGUUCCUAACAAGGCAUCAACGGGUAACGGAGUGUCAGGGCCCGACACCGGAGAGGGAGCCUGARAAACGGCUACCACAUCCAAGGAAGGCAGCAGGCGCGCAAAUUACCCACUCCCGGCACGGGGAGGUAGUGACGAAAAAUAACGAUGCGAGAGCUUUAUGCUCCUCGUAAUCGGAAUGGGUACACUUUAAAUCCUUUAACGAGGAUCUAUUGGAGGGCAAGUCUGGUGCCAGCAGCCGCGGUAAUUCCAGCUCCAAUAGCGUAUAUUAAAGUUGCUGCGGUUAAAAAGCUCGUAGUUGGAUCUGGGUAGUCGAUGGACGGUGCGCUUUACGGCGUCUACUGUUCGUUCGGCACCACAUGCCGGCCAUGUCUUGCAUGCUCUUCACUGAGUGUGCUUGGCGACCGGAACGUUUACUUUGAAAAAAUUAGAGUGCUCAAAGCAGGCGUUAAGCCUUGCAUAAUGGUGCAUGGAAUAAUAGAAUAGGACCUCGGUUCUAUUUUGUUGGUUUUCGGAGCUCGAGGUAAUGAUUAAUAGGAACAGACGGGGGCAUUCGUAUUGCGGCGUUAGAGGUGAAAUUCUUGGAUCGUCGCAAGACGCACUACUGCGAAAGCAUUUGCCAARAAUGUUUUCAUUAAUCAAGAACGAAAGUUAGAGGUUCGAAGGCRAUCAAAUACCGCCCUAGUUCUAACCAUAAACGAUGCCAACCAKCGAUCCGUCGGUGUUUAUUUGAUGACUCRACGGGCAGCUUCCGGGAAACCAAAGUGCUUAGGUUCCGGGGGAAGUAUGGUUGCAAAGCUGAAACUUAAAGGAAUUGACGGAAGGGCACCACCAGGAGUGGAGCCUGCGGCUUAAUUUGACUCAMCACGGGAAAACUUACCCGGCCCGGACACUGWAAGGAUUGAC